AGUGAACGCUGGCGGUAGGCCUAACACAUGCAAGUCGAACGGCAGCACAGUAAGAGCUUGCUCUUACGGGUGGCGAGUGGCGGACGGGUGAGGAAUACAUCGGAAUCUACUUUUUCGUGGGGGAUAACGUAGGGAAACUUACGCUAAUACCGCAUACGACCUACAGGUGAAAGCAGGGGAUCUUCGGACCUUGCGCGAUUGAAUGAGCCGAUGUCGGAUUAGCUAGUUGGCGGGGUAAAGGCCCACCAAGGCGACGAUCCGUAGCUGGUCUGAGAGGAUGAUCAGCCACACUGGAACUGAGACACGGUCCAGACUCCUACGGGAGGCAGCAGUGGGGAAUAUUGGACAAUGGGCGCAAGCCUGAUCCAGCCAUACCGCGUGGGUGAAGAAGGCCUUCGGGUUGUAAAGCCCUUUUGUUGGGAAAGAAAAGCAGCAGGUUAAUACCCCGCUGUUCUGACGGUACCCAAAGAAUAAGCACCGGCUAACUUC
rnacentral:rRNA from 1 species